rnacentral:rRNA from 1 species
AUUGAACGCUGGCGGCAUGCCUUACACAUGCAAGUCGAACGGCAGCACGGACUUCGGUCUGGUGGCGAGUGGCGAACGGGUGAGUAAUGUAUCGGAACGUACCUUUCAGUGGGGGAUAACGUAGCGAAAGUUACGCUAAUACCGCAUAUUCUGUGAGCAGGAAAGCAGGGGAUCGCACGACCUUGCGCUGAUUGAGCGGCCGAUAUCAGAUUAGCUAGUUGGUGGGGUAAAGGCCUACCAAGGCUACGAUCUGUAGCGGGUCUGAGAGGAUGAUCCGCCACACUGGAACUGAGACACGGUCCAGACUCCUACGGGAGGCAGCAGUGGGGAAUUUUGGACAAUGGGGGCAACCCUGAUCCAGCCAUGCCGCGUGAGUGAAGAAGGCCUUCGGGUUGUAAGGCUCUUUCGGCCGGGAAGAAAUUGCAUAGGCUAAUACCCUGUGUGGAUGACGGUACCGGAAUAAGAAGCACCGGCUAACUACGUGCCAGCCGCCGCAGUAAGAC